GGGUUGAUGUAGCUCAGUGGUUGAGCAUCUGCUUUGAGUGCAGAAGGUCCCAGGUUCAAUCCCUGGCAUCUCCA